rnacentral:rRNA from 1 species
UACGUAGGUGGCAAGCGUUGUCCGGAAUUAUUGGGCGUAAAGCGCGCGCAGGCGGUCCUUUAAGUCUGAUGUGAAAGCCCACGGCUCAACCGUGGAGGGUCAUUGGAAACUGGGGGACUUGAGUGCAGAAGAGGAAAGCGGAAUUCCACGUGUAGCGGUGAAAUGCGUAGAUAUCGAGAGGAACACCUGCGGCGAAGGCGGGUUGCUGGGCUGACACUGACGCUGAUGUGCGAAAGCUAGGGGAGCGAACGGG